UACGUAGGGCGCAAGCGUUGUCCGGAAUUAUUGGGCGUAAAGAGCUCGUAGGCGGUUUGUCGCGUCUGUCGUGAAAGCCCACGGCUUAACCGUGGGUCUGCGGUGGAUACGGGCAGACUAGAGGCAGGUAGGGGAGAAUGGAAUUCCCGGUGUAGCGGUGAAAUGCGCAGAUAUCGGGAGGAACACCGGUGGCGAAGGCGGUUCUCUGGGCCAACACUGACGCUGAAGCACGAAAGCGUGGGGAGCGAACAGG
rnacentral:rRNA from 1 species